rnacentral:lncRNA from 1 species
AUGUCCAAGACAUAUGCUGUCUGUGGUAACCCUUGCGUUUCCAACAUAGGACCCAGGAGGACUGAGAUUGAAGAUGUGUAUAUCCUGGGAGAAAAUGCAUAUGAAGACGUCAGCAAGCCCCAGGAUGACCACCUCUAUUGUAAGAAAUUCCAGGACUCCUUCAUCAACAGUUGUGCUGCUCGUGGGUCCCCUGAGCUUUUAAAGGAUACUACGGUAUACACAAGGGGCAUCCCAACCGCUCAGACCUCAGGCUACCCAUGGGCUGAGUCCAGCAACCUUCAGCCUGGUCUUGGAGUGUGGAAUGAGACAUCGAGCUGCUGCUGGGUCUGCACUUUGACCCCUAUGAGACAGCCAAGAGUGAAUACUCCUGGAUGAUCACCAAAGGAAGAAACAGCCAUGAAUAGGUGGAUGGAAAGAACAAAUCCCAGGCUAACUGGAUGAGGUAUGUACACUGUGCCUGGAAUUCGGAGGAGCAAAAACUGGUGGUCUUUCAACACCAUGGGCAGAUGUUCCACCACACCACAAGGUCAUUAGGCUGGGCUGUGAGUUGCUGAUCGAGUGUGUGCCCAGAAGCUGGGCAUCAAACAUGGCAGCAAGCAGAAGAACCAGUACACAGCAGGAAGAGCAGAUACAAAGCCAGAAAUCCAUUCCUGUGCCUGGUGCACUCUGCCCUUCUCCAGUAGGAAUUUCCUCAGGCAACAUGUCGAACACAGUCACUACUCUCAGAUCUGCCCAGGAACAUCUCCAAGAAAAGCCCACAAGCCAGGGGGUCACUGUCCAGUGCAUCAGCUUCAGUGGCAAGAACAUUCUGAUCCACAUGGCUGGAAUGACAAAGAGGGGGUCAGGAGUUUCAAGGAAGGCACAAAGAGGCACAGAAACACACAGAAGCAAGGGAGACUUCCAAGGCCUUUUCUAGCUCACCCAGAGGUCAAGCAGGGGAUGGGGAGGUGAGGGAGUGACGGGUGAAGAGCUUAGAAGGGGCCAGGAAGUGGAGCCAGAGGCACAAGCAAAUUUUGCAUGGGGGAAGAACACGUGACAACUGCAUGUGUCAAGAAUGGAGGGUGAACAAGGCAUCCAUGAGAAGUCAAGAGUCAAGGUGCCCACAGGUCAGCCCCAGGGGAGAAGCCCUGCGUUUGCAGGGAGUGUGGGAGGCGUUAGCUGAAAGCCAGACCUCGCCAAGCACCUGAGGACACACAGAUUAGAAGCUAUGUUCCUGCUUUCUAUGUUGCUACCUUUGUUCCCCUUGGUCUCCAGUUCAUAAAAGCGUGGCUUUCCUUUCCUACAGGAUUUUGGAGGAUACACUUGCUGUUCACAUUGCUAACGAUAUAACCUUUGAGCUAUUUUUUUAAAUUAUAGUGUAGUUGCUAAGAAAAUGAUCAGAUUACAGACAAAGUUGCCCUUUGAGCCAAUAAACAAAUAUAACUAUUCAAUUUACCUAUUGAUUCCAGAGUGCAUACAUUUGUUUUCAUUUAUUUUUUUUUAGUUAUCUAGUUAUGUAGGUAUAUAGGCAAAUACUUAUUUC